rnacentral:rRNA from 1 species
AUUGAACGCUGGCGGCAUGCCUUACACAUGCAAGUCGAACGGCAGCACGGGAGCAAUCCUGGUGGCGAGUGGCGAACGGGUGAGUAAUAUAUCGGAACGUGCCCAGUCGUGGGGAUAACGUAGCGAAAGCUACGCUAAUACCGCAUACGAUCUAUGGAUGAAAGCGGGGGAUCGCAAGACCUCGCGCGAUUGGAGCGGCCGAUAUCAGAUUAGGUAGUUGGUGAGGUAAAGGCUCACCAAGCCGACGAUCUGUAGCUGGUCUGAGAGGACGACCAGCCACACUGGGACUGAGACACGGCCCAGACUCCUACGGGAGGCAGCAGUGGGGAAUUUUGGACAAUGGGCGCAAGCCUGAUCCAGCAAUGCCGCGUGCAGGAUGAAGGCCUCGGUUGUAAACGUUAGUACGUUUUGUUACGGUAACGGAAA